GAUGAGGGUGUCUUCAUUGCAGCAGGUCAUUAAUGUAUCACCUCGCACACAUCAACAUGUCACAACAUAAUAACAGAGCAUGCUAUGAUUGGUUCACGACAAUGGAUCCUCAAAAUGGCGCAUAUACUGCAUGAUAAGAAGAGUGACUUCAUC
rnacentral:ribozyme from 1 species